rnacentral:rRNA from 1 species
GCCCAUAAGCUAGCCCCACCAACCACUUUCAUCAAACAAAUAUAACCAAACCCAAAAACACUAGACUCUUCUUAAACAAAGCAUUUUACCCCCUUAGUACGGGCGACAGAAAAGGACCUCCGGGCGCAAUAGAAAAAGUACCGCAAGGGAAAGCUGAAAGAGAAAUGAAAUAAACAAGUAAAGCCAUAAAAAGCAGAGAUUUAUCCUCGUACCUUUGGCAUCAUGA